GAUGCUCAGUUCCUUUUGGCAUUUAAGGUAAUUGUACAGCUCAGGCCCAGCACUCUGAGGUGAAAUAUACCUACACUGUGUGUGAUUCAGUGAACUUGAUUAUUAGAGUAUAUGGUACUCUGAUAGCAAAGCAUGCACUGGCUGGUCUCUGAAGUUUGGCAGUCUCCACAUAGUAAUAGAGCUGAUUAGAAAUGUGUUUUCAUCAUCGAAGAACUAAAAUAACAUAUAUGCUGAUCUUUUCAUGUCUCUGUGUUGAAGAAGAAGAAGAAGCAGAAGAAAUGAAAAUUUAACCCCAAGUAAAUAUUAGUAUUUGGAAGAAAAAUUGAAAUAUUAAAUCCCAGAUA